GACGAACCGUGCGAACGUUGUUCGGAAUCACUGGGCUUAAAGGGCGCGUAGGCGGGUGUGCAAGUCUGUGGUGAAAGCCUCCAGCUUAACUGGAGAAGUGCCAUGGAUACUGCACAUCUUGAGGAGGGUAGGGGCAUCUGGAACGGUCGGUGGAGCGGUGAAAUGCGUUGAGAUCGGAAGGAACGCCCGUGGCGAAAGCGAGUUCCUGGACGUCGGCUGACGCUGAGACGCGAAAGCCAGGGGAGCGAACGGG
rnacentral:rRNA from 1 species